AGAAUAUGACAUGGUGAAAGCUGAUCAGCAUCCGCGUGAGAUGACGUCUAUGAUGUAACUCUUUGUACAGGAUAACUACUCUCGUGAGGUAGCUGAGUACUGUACGAUAGCACGCUACUCCGUGCCAGCAGCGCGUAAUACGGAGGGUGCAAGCGUAUCCGGAUUUAUUGGGUUUAAAGGGUCCGUAGGCGGACCUGUAAGUCAGUGGUGAAAUCUCAUAGCUUAACUAUGAAACUGCCAUUGAUACUGCAGGUCUUGAGUAAAUUUGAAGUGGCUGGAAUAAGUAGUGUAGCGGUGAAAUGCAUAGAUAUUACUUAGAACACCAAUUGCGAAGGCAGGUCACUAAGAUUUAACUGACGCUGAUGGACGAAAGCGUGGGUAGCGAACAGGAUUAGAUACCCUGGUAGUCCACGCCGUAAACGAUGCUAACUCGUUUUUGGAUUUUCGGAUUCAGAGACCAAGCGAAAGUGAUAAGUUAGCCACCUGGGGAGUACGUUCGCAAGAAUGAAACUCAAAGGAAUUGACGGGGGCCCGCACAAGCGGUGGAUUAUGUGGUUUAA
rnacentral:rRNA from 1 species